GACAAAGUUGUCUAUGCUGUAGAUGAAGUAGAAGAGAAAGUUGAAAAACUUUCUAAAGAUCAUAAGGAGUAUGAUCUGAACUCUAGAAUCAAUGAUUUGGAUACCCAAGACGUGCCUAACAACCACUGGAAGCAAGAGAACAAUAAUGGAGAAGAAGAGAUUUAAGAAGAAAGCAUAGAGAGCCGGAGGAAGCUGACCGCGGCUGCGAGUACUUCACCCGCGGCCAGAGCCACUUCCACCGCGACUCCAAGCUCCUCACCCGCGGUAGAGCAUGAUUUCUCAGAUUAGGAGAACUUCCAACCUCUUUCUGAAACCUGUUCAACUGCAGACCAACCCCUUGUGACCAGAUCUAGGUUGUUUGAUCAAGUUGUCUUCUCAAUCACUGCACAAGCAUCAAAAGAAAAGGAAGAAUCCAACACUUAUGAAUCUUGCAACAUAGUUUACACUUGUGACAAUGAGCUUCAAGAGCAAUUCUCAGAAGAUGAAGAGUAUGGUUUGUUUGUUGAAGAUCCAAACUAUGGGGACAAUUCAUCUAAUGACAACUCAGAACCAAUUACCAAGAGCAUAUCCAGAGAGAGACUGAUUGAAUUCAACAAUUUUGUGAAGUCCAUUCCUCUCUACCAUGGUUUCGACGACAUCUGGAAGCAAGGCUGCCUUCAAGUUUUUUUUUCAGAUAUAGCAAGAAGACUAAGGAGAACGUCUACACUUAUUUCAGAAGAGCCAGGUAUCUAUCUUUUCCUAGAUCAUCACCUGAUGCAGCUGUUUACAUGAUCCAUCUCAAAGAUCCCCACGAAGCCAUUGACUACACAAACAAGAUCAACAAAGAAGCACUUGAAGAGUCAAUCAAGUAGUUCAAAGCCUCCUAGAAGGAAUUUCAUUUGCCAAAGCAUGUAGAGACUACAUGAUCGGCCACUUCUUCUAUGACAGCAAAGAUUCUAUUCAAGAGAUGAAAGACUUGUUCACACACGCCCAAGAAGGUAGACCAUUUCGAAAUCUGCACAAAGUUCAAGACAAAGGUCAAUUUCUUAUAUCUUGUGAUAUUAGAGGUGAAAGAUUUCUCAAUAUUCUUUGUGAUUCUGGAGCUUGCAUUAACAUGAUGUCCAAAGCAACUGCUUUGAGACUUGGCAUUAAGCACAUUUCAAAUACCAUGACAAAGAUUAGCUUAGCAGAUGGUUCAAGUGCAACACCAAGAGGGAUAUCCCGAGAUAUUCCUCUAAGGAUUGGAGAUUGCAUUGCACCUGUCGAUCUAUACAUAGUGAAGACCAAAGAUGACUCUUAUCCACUUAUCCUUGGAUGGUCUUUCUUAGCAACUGCUGGAGCCAUCAUGGAUUGGCCCAACAGGAGAUUUUAUUUUGCAAAUAUCGACAAGGAUAUCUUCUAUCAAGCUACACCACUUAAGAGCAAAGGAGAAAAGCAGAAAGCCUAGGCCUUUGAACCAGAAGAAAUCUGGAGUGAUGAAGAACCUGCAAGACAGAAGAGAAGGAUUUCGAAAAGGACUUGUCUUAGGACAAGAUCCUAUUUGAGCUAAGUCUUUUUCUUUUGCAAGUGUAGCUAAGGACUAUAAACCAAAGCGCUUGAUGGGAGGCAACCCAUUUAGCUACUUAUUUGCUUCUGUUUAUCUUUCUUUUUCUAUUAAAGUUUUGGUUUUUUUAUUUUAGACAGGCCUUAGUAUGCCACAAAAAAAGGAAGAAAAAGAAGAAAGAGAGCUGACCGCAGCCAAAGGAGGUUCAACCGCAGCCAGCAAGCAUUUUGCCGUGGCCACGAAGCUUUGAACCGCGGCCAGCACCACUCGGCCACCCUUGGCCAUUUCCACCUCUACCUUGAUUCAAAUCCAUCCAAGUUGGAUCAAGCACCACUUCACAUCAUCCACCAUCCACCAUUCAAUAUCCUACCACCUCCACAACCACCUCAUAAUCCAUCACCACACCAGGUAAGUUUUCUUUUCCUUAAUCUUUUUAAAUUUUUUCACAUACUCUAUUUCUCAUCCUUGCCUGAUUUAUUUCAUACUGGGGACAGUGUGAUUUAAGUAUGGGGGAGGAUUUCAUCCCUUUCUAACCACUUUUUCUUGCAUGAGCCUUUGCAUUCUGCAUUUUUCUUUAAAAUUUUUCAAUUUUUUUUUCGAUUUUUCACAAAACUUUUCAAAAUUCUUUUGAGUUUCAAAAAGUGUUUUCAAAGGUCAAAUACAUUUUAAGGGAAUAAUGACAAAAUCGAUGAUGAUAACCAACCUGUUUGCUUCUACACCAAUGAUUCAUAAAAAGCUCUUUCAAGGUUUAGUAUUAGACUUGGCGGUAGCUGGAGUACUUACACUACGAAAUCCUACCAGAAGACUUCUAUUCAUGAAGAUAUUUUCUAACAGGAUAUUCUAGCUCAUCUUACUUGGACUUAAUCUUGACAUCUAAUUUUCUCAUCAAUGGUUUUAAGAAGGCAUCAUGAUAUACAUCUAGGACAUCUUUAUCUUAUUGUUACCACUCUUUGUUGUCCUAGAUGGCCAGUUCAUCUUUAGCUGGUACCUCACCUUUAACCCAAACCUUUAUGUUCUAACCUCAUGCAUUCUCUCUUAAGUAUAUAUUGACAGAUAUGUGCAAAAACGCCGUAGAGGGAGGAACAACAUAGUUUUCAGUCAUUCAUGAGAAAAACUGAAAAAGACCAGAAGGGAGUGUGCCAGAAAUCUUAUGAUUCCUCAGAAAAGCUCAUUCUUAUAAGUAAAUUUCAUGCUUUUUAAGAUUAAGUCAAAAGGCAGUUUCCCCUUUCCCAAAAAAAAAACAAAAAAAAAAAGAAGGAAAGGAAAGAAAACCAAAAGCCUAAAGAGUCUUAGAAGCCGAAAUCAUUUGAGCCAAGGCAAUAGGUAUCCACCUAAGGAGUUAUGGAUUCACAACCUAGACAAAAAAUCCAAGUCUGGGGGAACUAUAAGGAGAACCUGAAGAAAGGAGAUCAGAAAUCUUAAAGCAAAGAGAAUGUGACUGAAACAGUGGGGGCAUUUACAGUUCCAUCCUCUCUUGCUGUUUUGCAUAAUGUCUUGUCUCUCCAGAAAAAGGUAACCCUAAACACAUCAAACCUUACCAUUAAAAAGCCUUUUUGAUACCUAACCUUGAAUGCCUUGUUUGAUAUCCUUUUGAUGAGAAUCACUGAAACCUUUAAUAAAUGUUAAGAGCUAGGUGACUGGAAGUUAGUUCUAAGUGUGUGGAUUUUUGCAUGACGGAUUAACAGACUAGUUAUGUUUGUAUUUUGGUGAGAAUUUUCUAGACUUGAUCUGAUUGACGCAUUGUCCAUAAUUAAGGUCUAGAAGUAUGGUUGCUGAUAUUUUUGAGUUCCCUCUCACUUUUGUUGAAUGAUAUUUUUCCAGAUUUGAUCUUGUUUUGUUUGAGGACAAACAAAGUCUUAAGUCAAGGGGGGGGGGGGUUGAUACCACACCUGAUUUUGACCCAUUUUCACCAUUGAUUUCAAUGCUUUUUCAAAGAUUUUAAUCAUUUUUAGUAAUUUUUAUUAUGAUUUCCAUGUAUCUGUAGUUUAAAGGUUCUUUUCAGGAAACUUACGGAAAAUGAUGGAAAAAUGGAAGAAAUCUACUUUUUUAAGCUCAGAGUCAGACCGUCAGAAGUUCAGCCUCAAAUGAAGACUUUUUCAACGUCUGAUCUAGUUCAAAUUUGGAGACAAUCAAGAGGAGACAACCAGAUUUCCAUAGCACUUUACAUCACAAAGAUUCAAUUGUGCAAUCAAAAGAUACAUGGAGAACAAGCUGACCCAGUUUACCGGUCCUGGAAGACUCUCACCCGCGGCAAAAUCAUGUUUUACCUGCCCUGGAAGACUCUCACCCCCGGUGUACCUUAGGACGAGCCACAAGGCCCAACAUCAAAGCCCACUUCGCCAUUCCUCUUCAGAGAAGCCCUAAAUGAGAUCUGGAAGACCUUAGGACCUAUAAAUACAUUGUUUAGCAGCCCCAAACAAGUGUGUGCUCCUGUAAUGAGAUUUUGAGCCACCAAGCUAUGUGUUAGGCGAUGGAGAUGGGGAUUCUUCCCCAGAUCCAUUGUUCUUUCUCCUUUCUAUUCUACUAACUUUUCUGUUUCAUUCUUUUGCUUUUUUCUAUGUCUUUUAUUAUUCCUUGCAUCAUGUAGAUCUGUCCCAGAUAGUCAAGUUGUUUUAAGAGUCAUCGAUGAGCAUAUAUAUCGAUUAGGAUUUCUAUAGUUCUAAACCAUAUUCUGUAUCUCAUCUCUUCUAAGUUGUUCAUAUUUCAUGAGAGUAGAUUCAUGACCUAUUUUCUGAGCUUAGGAUCGAUCAGAGCCACGAGAGUGUUGUAUCAGAUCAUCCAUACCUAGCUUCAGAAGAACAUAGUCGCUAUAGGAGUCGAAAGCUACCUAUAUAGAAGAUGAGAGCAGACGAAUUCAAUGUCUAAUGCAUGAUCUUAUUUCUGUCAUGAGAGCGAGAGUUAAUUGUCAGAUCUAAGUGAUUAGUUGAUUAAGAUGGCGAGAAUUGGUUAAUCAUACAUAUGUCUAUUCUAGUUUCAUGCAGAUUCCCAGAAAAAGAUGAAGAUAAAUCGCCCGGAAGCUAAUUGGAAAUGCCACCAUACAUCGAUUAGAGUAAACCGGAGAAGUCUAAAUCGCACCCUAUGAGUUUAAGAGUCUUUAGUUUGAGUCGAUAUGCUUGAGAUAUUCUUUUAACAAUUCAUCCUGCAUUGCAUUUUAUCUCUUGUGAAUAUUAAAUUAGGUUUAGUUUAGGACUUUUAACCAAAAACCCCAACACGUUUAUUGGUUUAUGACUUUGCUUACGUUCCAGUUUGUUGUUUCUUGCAGAUUAGACAUCCUCUCUGUGGAUCGACACCCUAAGUUCUACAAUGUACAUCUGUGCACUUUCAGAUUUUAGGGUUUUAUACAUUUAAAUCUUCCUUUAUGGACCAAUGGGCUUGGAUGAAAAACAACCCUAGGCCUGUAGCUCAUCAACGUUCCAAAAUGCACUUUACCGUGCCGGAUGUACCAGACGUCCCUUGUAUCAGAUGUACCUGAUGCACGCUUGCCAGAUGUACCAGAAUUCCCUUCUAUCAGAUGUACUAAACGCACCAAUAUUAUGCCAGAUGUACCAGAUGCACUCUUACUGUGCUAGAUCUACUUGGUGUUAAGUAGAACAGGUGUCUCUACAGACCAGACGUCCCUUUGGACCAGAUGUUCCGUCGGACCAGACUCCACUGCGGACUAGAUGUUAUUUCAGACCAUACGCCUCUUCGGAUCGGACAUUGUUUCGGAAUAGACGUCCUUUCAGACCAGACGCCUUUUACCAGGCUCAUAUACUCCUCCAGAGCCAGAUGCCUUUCACUGGGCUCAGAUGCUCCUUCGAGCCAAACAACCCUCACCGGGUUCAGACGUUCCUUCAAGCCAAACGUCCCUUCGGACCUGUAGUGUAUGAUCCACCAUAUCUUCGAAGCCAUAUAUCUCUGUGGAUCCAACCUCAUUCCUUGUAAGCUGAUCAUGACAUGUACUACGGUGAAUAUUCUCAGAUGGUGUCAGUUCUGACAGAUCAAUUUCUGUCUGUAGCUCUUGAAUCUCUUCGUGUAGCUCAGAAUCAGUCUCGUCACGAUAUAUAUACAAAUCCACCUGCAUCUGUAACUCCACCUGCUUGUCAAAGCUACUGUUCUCUGUAGCAGCUGUGGUUAAAGGUUCAUCUUGGAACCUUCUUUCUGAAUCAACAUUAGAGAACAUGCACUUCGUUCUCCGCAGCAGCAUCUGAUUCAUCUGCUCAGAUACACCAUUCGGUUGUGAUGUAUCCGUAACUGCAUGAUGUUGGACAACUCCUUCAUCCUUGCAUAGCUGAUUGAGCUCUAAUGAACAGAAUUUCUCACCUUCCUCUGACAGAAUUUGCACCUUCUUUUCACCUAUACGACCAAAGCUCUUAUGCCACAGCUUUGUUAUAUCUUUGUGGUGAAUUUCUGAAGAUGCAACAUUCACAGAACCUGUAGCUGUGGAACCUCCACCCAUACCCUUGUGCCCUCCUCUGCUGCAGGUGAAAUCACCUUCAUCAUCCUCAUUUUCAUUCAAUGGAGCCGCAAAUCUCUAUGACAGAUAACAUCUUCAACUUUCUUUUUCAAUUUUAUCGAAAAAUGUGAGAUUAGACGCAUAUAGAAUGGGAACCAUCUCUAUAAAAACAAUAGAUUUUUUUUAUGAAGAGAUAUCUGAUGUCCAAUAUAAUUUGUUGUUAUAAUUUGUAUCUAGUUUUUUUGUUAUCAAAAUGAAUGUUCAGAUGAGAAUAUUGUAAAUUAAUUCUUAUCAUGAUAUUUUGAAUAGCAUAUGAUUUUGAUUAAUAUUAAUUAAAAUCAUUAAAUUGAAACUAUAUAAUAUUGAUAAGAACUUUAAAAUUAAUUAUCUAAUGAUACAUAAUUUUAGUUAAAUUUUAAAAUCACUUAAAAUGCAUAAACUAACAGUACCCAACUCAAUAUAUCUUGGUGAAAAGGUUCUUAUGUAAAAGUCUAAUUAUAUAAAAAUUAUAGUAAGGAAAAAGAAUGUGCGUUCUUUCAAAAAAAAAAAAAAAAAAAAAAAAGAAGAAUGUGCAGUGAGCAAUCAUAUAUUCCCUUUAAAUAGUCUCAGUACUGUCAUUUUGAGUUUACCCUCUGUCUCCCCUAUUUUUUAUAUUUACAGUUUUUUAAUAUUAGGUUUUUACUAAAAUAAAAAUUUCACAUCGUGAUUUAUCAGAUGGAUCCUAUCCAUUUCUCAAUUUAAUAAAUAAUAUUUCUUAAAACUUUUCUUGUCUUACUAUAUUCUCAGCAUUUUGUAACACUAAAUAUUUAAAAUGCAAUAUUUAUAUCUUUUUGGACUUUACAUUGAUAUAUAUAAACUUUCGAAUAUUAUUAUGUUAGAUACACAAUUUCUAACCAGAGAGGAAUUUACAUAGUAAAUAAAAUGAUAUUUAUCAUAUUUUUGUAAUUCUAUUAGAAUUAUCUACAUUUUUAUAUGUGUAAAGCUCAUAUAAUUGGUUUUGCAUUCUUAAUGAAAGUUUGUUAAUAGAACUAAUAUAAUUAUAUCAUGGAAGAAAAACUAAUAGAAUUUAUUUUUAAAAAAUGAUAUCAAUCUAUCAAUUUUAUUGGGCACUAAAACAUUUAGGGUCCUGCCAUUGACCAAUACUGUCUACCUCCCAUAUAUCUACCAUUAAGCCAAUACAAUUAUUUAAACACUUUUGUAGAGAAUUUUUUUCUACAUUUGAUAUUUAUAGAAAGACCUAAAAAGAAAUAAAAUCUAUACUUUAUCAAUAAUAUAAUUCUGAAAGGUCGUUUUGAGAUAUAUGUGAUAUAAUAUUAUAAUAUUUAAUUUAUAUAUGAUAUCUAAACUUUACCAAAUACUAAAGUUUUAUAUUUUGAUUAGUCUACAUUGAGAUUACAUAUUGUUUCAUUAAAAUAUUUUAUUUUUAUUUUAUGCUAAAUUUAUAAUCAAUAUUAGAGCAUUUAUUACUUGGUCAUAGGUUUUACUAGAGUUGAAUUUCAUAAAAUAUUAAAUUUGGUCAAAUUAAAAACAUUUGACUCAUUUAGAAUAUGUAAAGAGUAGCGAGCCAAAAGAAGUUGAACUUCUCAAAUAUAAAUUAAAUUUUCAAGCGCAAAGCUCAUGGUACAAUCAAGAAUCUGAAUAACUUUUGAAUGGCCACAUUAUUGUAUAUGAAUUACAUACAUGUAUAUGUAUGAUAGAAUAUAUAUAUAUAUAUAUGUUUUCUUGGUAGUGAAUGAGAGGAGGAAAAAAAAUAAGAGGAGAAACAAUGAGAAAAAGAAAAGUUCAUAAAAACAAAAAUCACAAAAUCAUAAAGUUUUUUCAUUCUUAUUGUUCUGCUCUUAUAUUUUUUUCCUGUCUCUCAUUCACCACCAAAAAAACACAUAUAUAUAUAUAUAUAUUUAUGUAUUUUUGUGUAGCAUUUGACCAUGCCAAUCCGAAAUGCUAAACAAAAAUAUAAUUUAUUUUUCCAGAUUACAGGCCAAGAGAUAGUAUGGAGAUAUAUAGAAGGCGAUGGUAUGAGGGUUACAAAAAUAUUCAGACUAUUAACUCAGAUUAAAAAUUCUGUGAGAAGAAAAUUCAGAUAUGAUUCCAGAAUUAUUUGUUGAGAAUCAAUCCAAAGUUCCACAUCGGAAGUUUAGACUAAUAUGGUCUAAUAUAUAAGUAAUGUCCAACUCUAAUUAGUAUGAGGUCUUUUGGGAAGGAGCCCAAAAUCAAAUCCGUGUGGGCUUUGUCAGUUGGGCCCAAAGCAAACAAUAUCAUACUAAUUGAAAAAGUUGGACAUGCGUUUUUCAAGCCCAAUAUUAUUCAGGUGAAAAUUUUCAUCACUAUUUUCAGAAUGAUAGGCUAAAGUGUAAGAGACAUUUUAUUAUUAUUGUAUCUCAAAAAACGUGGAAAUGUUACAUAAGCCUUUAACAGUCUUUUUAAAAAAAAAGCUAUAUUCAAGAUAUUUAGUUUUUUUUUUAAAUAAUAUAUAUAUAUAUAUAUAUAUAUAUACACAUAUAUAUGAUAUUUAAACUCUAUAAAUAAGAGUUUGAUAUUUCUAGUCCAGAUAAAGUAACGUUAUAAUGCUGCCCAAAAAAUAAUACUACAAAUAAUUAUUUUCUAUUAAAUUUACAUUAUAGCAUUUUUUUUUAUAACAUCUAUUUUAUUAGAUAGUAAAAAAGUAAUACAUCAUGUUUACAAGCCAUUUUGGCAAAGAUUGAAAAACAUAAUACAUAGCAUGAAAACAACAAUACAUAAAAUUAAAAACACAAAGCACUAAAUCAAAGAAGAUGAGUUUAAACGAUUUUUUUCUUCGAAUUUUUCUCGCUGAAAAAGUGUCCACACCUUCUUUCCUCGUAAUCGCAUUUGAUCUAAAGCGAUUUUUUUUUUUGCUAUGAUCCAUCUUUUCUCCUGUUGUAUGUUAUUGACACAUUUCCAAGUAAGAACUAAAAAUAUUCUAUGAAUAAGAAUCCAAUCUUUUGAUUCUUUCCAUAGAAAAAAUACUUGAAAUUGCCAAUUUUCUACGACUGUACGUAUGUCGCCAUACCACAAGGAGUUUUCAUCUUCCGCUCCAAACCCUUGUCCCCUCCAUGGUGGUUUCCAUGUUUGUUGUUCCCAUAGUAAUGCCAUAUCCGGCUGAAUAGAAUCAUCGAAGAAGAUCAAACAUAAAACCCAAAUUCGCCAAUCAUCGUUUCCAUGACUCCUAACUUCUCCUAUUCCCGGAUCAAAAACCCAAAUUACAUCUCCAAACCAUACAGUGGAGGAUAAUAAAAACUGCUGUGAGUGUUGAUUUAAUCUUGGAUCAAUUUGAGUAAAUUGGUUCAAGAAAGAAUUAAAAUCCCAACCAAAGACUUGACGAAUUAUAGCAUUUAUUAUUUGGUCAUAGGUGUUACUAUAGAUGAAUUUAAUGGAAAUGUUAUUUUUGGUCAAAUCAAAAUUAUUUAAUAUUUAUAAUAUGUAAAAAUUUGAUCCAAAAGAAGUUAAAACAUAAAUAGAAUCUCAAACCACAUGAUACAAACAAGAAUCUGAAAAAAAGUUUGGAAUCUCCAAUAUGAUAUACAUUUGCAUUAUUAAAAAAAAAUGGCACUCAUUGUUCUUCUCUCAAUGCUUUUUUUUGUUUCCUUCUCUCAUUCACCACCACGAAAACACACACACAUAUAUAUAUAUAUAUAUAUAUAAAUAUAUAUAUAUGUCAUGCAUUAUCAUUUAUCAUCUCAUCGAUCUAACUCAUGCACUCAGGAUCAUCAUCAAAAUGAUCUUCUCCCUCCAUAGCCUCUCUUGGAUUUCCGGCUUCCAUAUUCUGUUUUCCGCAGGGCUCCAUCACAUUAUGUUUCUGACUUGUCGACACUAGAUUCAUAGAAAGUGAUUGAUCAUGGUUGGUGUCAGGGGUUGAGUCCAUCAGGGUAUUAAAGGCAGAGUCAUGUCCAAUACACCUCGUCGAAAAAAGAAUAUCUUCCUUAGAAGAGCCAAAAUUUCGAACCAACAGUCAAUAUCCAUCUCAUUGACGUCAAUGUCAAAAUAAAUCAGCUCUUCGAUCGGAACAUCAUUAUCUUCCACAUAAGGAACCAAAGCCAUAUCUUCCAUAUUAGUUUCAAGGGAUUGGGUUUUAUUGGUUUCAAAAGAAGCAUGUCUUCAAGAAGAAGAAAACUUUCUUCAGAAAACAACCAAUCUAUCUGGUCUGUAUUGGUUUCGAAAAUGGUGGUCGUAUUGGUUUGAGAAGAGGUUUCAUAACUUGUUUGACCAGAAGCAAAACCGACAUGGGAAAUGACAUUUUGAGAAAGAACAUGAUUUUCUCCAGAAGAAACCAUACCCAUCUGGUUACUGAUUUCAGAGGGAAUCAUAUUUUCAGAAGCAACAUAGCCUUCUACUGAAGAAAUAUUGGUUUCAGGAACAUUUAUGUUCAUAUCAGUUUGAGGAAGAACAUAAUUUUCUAGGGUAGGAAUCCAAUCCAUCUGGUUCAUAUUGGUUUCAGAUGACUAAUGUUUUCUGUUGAUGGAACACAACCUAUUUGGUUUAUAUUGGUUUCAUGAUCGCGAAUAUUAUCGGUUGAUGGACUCCAACUUAUCUGGUCCAUAUUGGUUUCUAAAGUGUUCAUGGUAAAGUCUAGAUCUGGAAGAAAAUAACUUUCUCCCAUAAUGCACAGAUCAGCUUGAGGAACAUAAGGCUCUGGUAUAUAAAUAAAGUCUAGAUCUAGUUGGUUCCAAUCGAUUUCAAGAACAGAUGAGCUAGGUUGAAAUGGGUUAGGUUCAGACUGAGGAAUACAAAUCCCGGAAGACUCCAUCUGGAAUGCAUCUGUGUUAGAUGCACCAACACUUGAUGACAAACCAUAAAGAACAGGAGGGUUAUCACUACUUAAGCCACUAUGGUUAGAUGCACCAACACUUGAUGACAAACCAGAAAGGACAGGAGGAUUAUCACUUAAGCCACUAUGGUUAGAUUCUCCAACACUUGAUAGCAAACCAGAAAGGACAGGAGGAUUAUCACUACUUAAGAUAAUAUGGUUAACAUCAUGGAUAGAAAAAAUAUGGGAAGGUGGGUUGUUACUUGUGGCUGAAGGAGCGUAAUUGACUUCCAUAGGUGACUUGUUUAAUAGGUUACCAAAAAGUGAGUGUUUACUCAGAUCCAAUUUUCCACCUAGAUGAAACUUGGGCACCAUCUUCGCUUUGCCCUUUUCAGCAGAUUUUUUGAAUGAAUCUGCAUACAAGAAAAACAAAAAACAUUAUUGACACAAAGAUGUUGAAUUGUGAAAAGUAUAUAUAUAGUAAAAGAACAUGACUUGCAUUGGUCGAUGGAUCAGGAGGAUGCUUCCUUCUUUUUCAGAGAAUACCACUUUGUGUUACUUUCAACGAUAUUCUUUGCUAAGUUGGAUGCAUUGAAAGGAUAUUCAUAGUCUGAAGGGUAGUUGAAUGUCUUAUCUGUUGACCUCCAUUCAUUCCUCGACAACGAAUGGUUCAUUAGCUUAACUUGUGCUUUGUAUUUCUGAAACAAUUAAUUAUAGAAUAAAACAGGUUAUCAUAAGGCUAGUAAAAUUAUAUAUUGAAAAAGAGUGUAUAUAAAUGUAUAUAUGAACCUGAAGGUGGCUACCGACUUGGCAAAGAUUCAAGUCUGAGUCAUUCAUAAUGCUCAAUAUGGAUUUAGGACAAGAAUCUGUAGGAUAAAGAACUGUAAUCAAUUGGUAGAAAGAAGAAUUGGUCAAAACAAAAAAAAUCUUACCUUUUGCACCCAAUAUGGAUAUAGCUGUUAAAAAUAUCAUUUGGCGCUCCUGGAGUCAAUACAUUGCAUCGUCUUCCAAUAUUACUCUCCAUAUUUAUUCCUUCCUCUCUCUUGUUCUCAGCCUCAGUGGGAUAAACCGGUUUAGUUUUUCCUUCAUCAAUUGCUUUGCCUUUUCUCUUUUGGUAUGUUUCAGGGGUUGUAAAUGUUUUGACGAAGGGUCGUCUUCCUAACAAAGAUGACUGACUUGUUCUCUGCCUCUUUAUGGUUUCUCUAAGAGAUUCAAUCUGAUUUAGUAUAUUUUUCUCCACAACUUUCUCUUGUUGUUCAGCGAUGUUGAUUUUCUUUAACUCUUGGCUCUUCUUAGGUACCACAUGCUGCCAUAGGUUUUCGAUGUCGUUUUCAGAAAUCGGCUUCGUUAGACAAAAACGUGCACUUUUUGUCAAAAGAUCUGAUGUUUCCUUGGUAUUUAUUUCUGGACUUAUCACUUUAACAUCAAAAAAAUAGAUAAAUUAAUCUGUGGAAGAAAGUAACAAACAGUGUAAAGAGUAAGCGCAAGAAGAAUGUGUAAAUGUUUGCUUACGUAUAAGAGGAAUUUUUUUGUGAAGCAAAGCAGUGAGAAAGGAAUGUGAAUCUAUAUGAGGCAUUUCAAUGUUGGCUAUCACAAGUCCAGUAUCCUUUUGCUUUUCGAUCAUCGAUAAAGCCUCACUUGCCUUGUUCAAGCUCAUCACUAGUACAUCAAUUUAUAUAUUAAAUAUUUACAAAAUCCAAAAAAAAACAUUGUUCAAAACAAUAAUCAAGUUUCUUCCAUUUUAGUUUUAGUUAUAUAAAAAAGUUGAAAAAACAAUAGAUUAACACGCACAUUUUCGAUUAUAUAUGAUGAUUAGCUAACCUAAUACAUAAUAUAUUAUUUAUAUACAUAUUAAUAUUUGAAAGAAAUUUUUUGGGCUAGAACCAGACAUCUAACAAUCUGAUUAUCCGAUUAAAAUAUAGAAUAUAUGUAUUAAAACUCAACAAUUAUACAUCUAGGGUAUUCAAUAAAAAAUUAAUAAAAAAUUAGAGUUCAAAUAUUUUAUUAAAUUCUUUCUUAUCGAUUUUUAUUUAUUUACAAAAAAAUAUUUUAAAAGAGAAAUUUAUAUGCGUAUUAUCAAUUAUAUUUGAUGAUCGACUAAUCUAAUACAUAAUACAUUAUAUAUAUAUAUAUAAAUAUUUGAAAACUUUUUCCAGCUAAUACCAAACAUUCGAAAUCAUGUUAAGAAAUCAUUUCUAAAUAACAUCAGUUAUCAAAAUCUCAUAUAUAUUCCACAAAAUAUAGAUUAUACUAAAAUUUAAUGGUUUUUACAAAAUAGUAUCCAAUAUCUAUGACAUAUUAUUAUCCAAACUAAUAAUCGUAGGUGAUUAGGAUUUUCAACAAAAGGGUUGUAAGAAAAUCAUCUUCAAAACUGAGAUCCAAGACCAAUCAGUAGCCUAUAGCUUUAAUAUUCUGUAAAUUAAAUUAUAAAUUAUAAUUUUCUAUGCGAAUUCACAUUUCUUCAAAUUUGUUCAGAGAUCCUGAUUUAUACAAUGUAGAAAUCUCAAGAUCUAGAGACGUUGAAUUAUAAUCAUCAGGAAAAUAUUCAGCAAAUGCUAAAAUUUACCAUACCAAAUGUAACAAAUUAGAAUAAUACCGUUGAUAUGUAAAUGGAAAAAUGAUCAACAUCAAUAUAAAUGGUAAACAAUUUUUUUUUACCUUUAUACGAAAAUUGCUUAAGCAUUGAAGUGAGAAAUUCAAUUGAUGUAGUGUCAUUAUCGAUUAGCAGAACUGAAAUAUCACCAAUGCGUUCAGGAACUAUGUUUCCAGCCAAAUUUACGGUCAACUUUUCAGUCAUAUUUUCAAAAAUAUAUGAUAUGAAGGUUUGAAAUAAUAACCGAGUUAAGGGGAAAUAAGCUAUUGCAUGGACGUAUAUAAAAGAAAGAAUAGAAAUUGUAGACCCAACAAGGUCAUAAAUUGCAAACAACACCAGAUGAAGAAAACUAUUUUAAUUUCUAUCAAAUAUAUUUCAUUUCAUCAUUGACCCUACCUAUAAUAUAUUUUUUUAACUCUAAAAAUAUACCCAGUCUAAAGUAUAAUCUAUUAGUUUAUAUAAUUCAAAAUCUUAUCAAACACAUGGUAAAUGAUAUUAUAGCAUUGGUAGUGAUAAAUAUAAUUAUUUUGGGAAUAUUAUAGUGUUUCUUGACCGAUAUAAUUUGAGAAUUUACACGAUAGUCAUCGACUUAAAAAUCCAUAUAUAGUUAGUUGUUAUUUCAUUUAUAAAUUUUGACUAGAAAUAUACAAUUAGUUCAUUUUUUAUACAAUGUUUUAGAAAAUGAUUAAUUAAUUAACAAAAAGUAAACAUAGAAAAUUUUUGUAUAUGCAUAAAAGAUUUUUCAUAGAAAAAUUUGGUGGAAUUAUGUUUUCUCUUUUUUCUUAUAAUUAGAUAAUAUUUUUAUUUCAGUCAGGAAAAAAUGUAGCUACAGAUGUGUUUUAGAUUUAUGGAAGCGUAAAAUAUUCUUAAUAUGUAAAGUAAUAUAAGUUCUCUAUAUAUUACACAAAAUAUAAUUCAAAUUUUGUUAAUAGUUUUGAUAUCAAAAGUUAUUCAUGCAUGCGUUUUACAAUUCGAUCCUUACCUUAUUUCGAGUACAAUAGGCAUGUGACUGGUCAAGUUUUUAAACUCUUAAGUAACUUCCAUAAUUACGUAGAAACUCAAAAAAAUUCAAGAAUAGAAUAAGGUUCAUCUUUUUAUAAAUGUUUAAUUUGAAACGUAUGCUAACACUUUAAAAUAAAGUAUUGAUAAUUAUAUGUUGUGAUGUUGUGUAAUGUAUAACUAAUGCUCGUUUAGUAGUGAACUCGUGAUCAAUGAUGGACUCCAGCUACAAGUUUGUUUUCCUUCCGAUCUGUUCACUACACUACAAGAAAGAAGACCUUUUAUAUUGGAAGAUAUCGACGUAAAAUCGACGUAAUGGGCCAUUUACGUCAAAUUAGUGACGAAUGAAAAAUUAUCGUAAAACAAUCAUCGUAAAAGAGAAAUCGUCGUAAAAUCUUCGUAAAUUACCAACACAAUAAAAUCGUCAGAAACAAUUCGUCGCAAAAACGACGUAAACGUUCCAACGAAAGUACGACGAAUUAAUUUUAACACAACAACGACGUAAAAUCGAUGUAAAAUUACAUCGGAUUUACAACAAUUUCGAGACGAUCUAUUUCGCAAAAGUCAAAUAAAUUUAUUAUAGAUCGACGUAAAAUCGUCGUAAUAUAUCGACGUAAAGUCGACAAAAAGUAUAUGGACGUUUUAAAAUAUUUGCCUUUAAUUAGACGUAAAUUUACGACGAGUUUACGUCGAAUUAGAAAAAUAAUUAUUAAAAUUGGAUUUUAAUUUAAUUAUUGAAUUUUUAAAAUAAUCAAAUAAAGGAAAAUUUAAAUUUAAAUUCGAAAAUAAUUCAUAAAUUAAAAUACAAAAUUAAAUACAAUUUAAAAAAAAUAAAAACUAAUCUACACAGUAAAUUCAUAAUCGUCGAGGUUGAGAUCGACGUCUCGAGGAGGCUCUCCGUCAUGUCCGUCCGUCGCUGUUGUACCAUCGUUUCCCGUCUGCACUACGGGAUCCGAAGUCUGACCCUGCGUCUGCUGGUCAGAAGGUCCACCCGCAAUAAUCCUGUGUGCUCGCCGUUGCCUCUCUCGAAAGUGGAUCGUGAAUAUUUCUAAUCCGUUUUUGAAGUCUUCAGUCAAUGACCCAUCAACAUUUUUGGGCGUAUACAUCCACUUUCGUAGAUCGUAUAUAGACAUUUAAAAACAAAUAAAUGACUUUUUGUUUUUGAAUUUUGAUAUAAAUUUCAACUACUAAAAAUUUUACUCAAACAUUCAAAGACUCAAAAAAUUGUGUCUUUAUAUGUUUUUUUGGUUGAUGGAAUAAUGAGAGAAGAAAUGGUAUAUAUAGAUUUUUUGUUUGGUUACCAACAUAUUGCCAUUGAAUAUUAACAUCAAAUUUACGUCGAAAUAAAAUUUACAUUAUAUUUACAUCGAUAUUACGUCAACUACAAGAUGGAGGCCAAUUCAUCGUAUUAUCGAUGUAAAAUUUACGACAAUGUUACGACGAAAUGUAAUUCGUUCUUUAUUCGUCAUAAUGUUGUCGUAAGUUUAUGACGAUUUUACGAGAAUACUAUUUUAUAUCGAAACGACGAAAUAUUUUGACGUCGUACGUAAUUUCGUCGUAAAUUUACUACGACCAUAAAUCGACGUAAAAAAUUCGUUGGAAAUGUCCCUCUUUCUUGUACUAUACAAGGAUUCAUAAAUAAUGAAGCUGUUUUGUUCGGUGAGUGCAUUAAUGUGAGUUAUACAAAAUUUACAUUGGUUACAAAAUUAGGAGACCAUCUCCAUCGGUUUGUUAGGUAAUUUAGAUAAUAAUAAAAAUUAAGAAAUGAUUAAAAAGUUAACAAUUCGGGUUGUUAGGUUGUUGUGGAAGAACCCAGGAAUAUAUAAAAACGUGGCACCAUGUCAUUGGUGGAAGAUUUUUUAUGUGUGUGGGCUAAAAAUCAGGAAUAAGCCCACAUAAAAAUUCUUAAUUUUUUUAAUUAAAAAUUCAUAAUUAAAAAAAUUUUAAGAAACCCAAUCCCAGGUUUAGGGAUGGAGAUGUUUUGCGUGAGUACAUUUUCUCUUUCUUAUAUAAAGUGGAUCCACCAUAACUCCUAAACUAAAUGAGACACACGAUGAGGCCGCAUACAGUGUGGAGAAGGUACACAAAUUCCGCAUUAUCGUUAUAAAAGCUAUGCGAAGUCUUUAAAAAUUAUCUACCGUUCUAAUAACUAACUAAAGUAAUCACGAGAAAUAGUAGUUGGAUAACAAGAUUUUUUUUGUCUUUCUGCUAAGGGCGAAAAAAGUAAUGUAACCUGAGCUCUUUUGCAUCUCUUCUCCGGCGAUGCCGACAGCGUCGGUCUCAUCCUCUUCUCCUCAUGGGGUAGAAAAAACAACCCAAAAAAUCUCCACCAUCCAAACCCUUGUGCCCUCCUCUGCCGCAGGUGAAAUAACCUUCACCAUCUUUGUUUUCACUCAAUGAAGCCGCAAAUCCCUUUGCUCACUCAGUGGCGGGGGAUCCUUCGUCUCUAGCACAGCAAAUCCUUACUGAUUCUGAUUCUCUAGCCUCGACUGACAGCAACUCUCGCUCAGAUCCAAUUGUGAUAGUUCCUGCAACAGUCCAAGCCCCCAAAUAUCAUUUAUGUAAAAGUUGUUGAGACAACAGAUCCAGAACUGAAGAACUCAUCAGUAGAGGCACCAAUUGUCCCGACAAUCCCUGCCUCUGAAUCUGUUUCCGUGAAAUAGUCUUUGGCUGCAGUUCCGGAAAUCCUAAAAAGUUCAAAACCCACUGUGAGUGAUUUGUGGUCAGGAUUAUUCAAAGGUGCUACGAAGCAACUGCAGAAGAAAGGCACAACUUUUACCUUCCCAUCCGAUGAAGCUUAUGUGAAGAUUCUCAAAUAUGUAAUCGAAAAGAACAAAAAAUCCUGGGAAAGUUUCAUCUGUGGGCAAUUAUACACAGAUACGCCCUCCCAGAAAACUGUUCAUAACAUCGUGAAUGGAAUUUGGAGUAAGCAUUUCUGUGAUAUUACAGUAUCAAAGAUAGAGGGCAAUACCUACCUUUUUCAGGAUACCAAAUCCUUCCACUCGACAAUGGGUUUUAACUCAGAGAUUAUGGCAGAUAGAAGGUAAAACGAUGUUUGUCACGAAUUAGGAGUCUGGCUUUGUUCCAUUGAAGCCCGAGCUCUCGUUGUCCCCUAUUUUGCUGAACUAAGAAAUGUUCCUCUACAGUUCUUCAAUGAAGACGGCUUUGAACACAUUGCGGGAUUUGUUGGAGAGCCAAAAUGUCUCCAGCCUAUAACUGCAAACAAGACAAAUCUGUAAGUAACGAAGGUAUUCACGAUAACUGAUCCUCGUAAACCUCUUUCAGAAGUUGUCAAUAUCCAAUUUGAUUCUGGAGAGAUCAAUAGAGUUUUAGUGUCCAGUCUGUGGAUGCCACCACUGUUUUAGUUCUGUAAGAGGUGAAUCAUCAUCUGAGGCAGUGCAAUGAAGCUCCAAUCUUUUGCAAGAAGUGCAACUCAAAAAUUCACGUGGAAGAGAAUUAUGCAAGAACCGUCCUACCUGAACAAAAUAAUCCAAACUCCCAUAGAAACAGAGCCAAGGGAUUAGCUGGAAAUACUUAGAAGUGGGUUAAAGUUGCUGAGAAAUCAUCUGCCAAAUCUGUCAAGUUUACUGAGUCUUCACUGGGGAAAGAAAACAAAUCUUCAAAGGGAGAGUUCAGUGGCGCUGUGGUCUGGUACAUCUUCAAGGGAAGAUCGACGAAAAUGUUAAAGGUCCUCCUAUCCCUGACACAAAAAAAUCAUCAGGAGUGGAAUCAGAUUCUUCGGACGUUGCUUUUGUGGACUUCAGCAAUGUUGUAAACCUGCAGGGUGAGCAGAGUGAGUUCGCAGAGGUAGUUUCAAAAAAGAAGAAGAAGGAUAAGAGGGACAAGAGCCCCAACAAAAGCAGCUUAAUAAAUGGUUGAAGAAAAACAAACCGUUUUAUGAGAGUAUUAUAGAAACCCAUGUGAAACAGCCUAAAUGUAGGAAUUUCAUUAAUAGAUCGCUUCCCGGCUGGUCUUUUGAACAGAAUUAUGAUUUCUCCAUUUAACAAGUGUAAAGGCUGUUGUGGUGGCUAAGUCUUUGCAGAUGAUCACCUACAAAGUUAUGUUUCCUGAUGUGCAGCAGUGGGUUAUUUUGUCAGUGAUGUAUGUUUCUACAGUUGAGACUCUGAAAAAGGAUCUUUGGGCAGAGCUGAUUGUUUUGUCUUCAAGCCAGACUGUUGAAGAAAAAGAAUGGAUGGUCAUUGAGGAAUUUAAUCAAGUUCUCCAUCUACAUGAGCAUUCAAGAGCUAUUACUCUUAAUGUGGAUAGGAGGACAAGAGAAUUCAGGCAGUGUUUGUUGUCGGCUGAGGUGUCAGAUUUGAACUACUGAGGAAACACAUUUACUUGGUGGAAUAAAUGUAGUGCCAGGCCAACUGUGAAGAAGUUGGACCACAUUCUUGUAAAUGAGGUUUGAUCUACUUUUUUCCCCUCUUCAUAUGCAAUAUGUGGAGAGCAUGGUUUUUCAGACUAUGCUUCUUGUGUUGUCGUCUUGGAGUUGGGUUCUCAAAGGCAGAGGAGACCUUUUAAAUUCUACAAAUUUUGCCUCCAGAACCAAGACUUUUACCCUCUGGUUUGUGAACAUUGGUUCUCAUGUAACAUGGUGGAAUCAGCAAUGUUAUGUCUCUCAAGGAAGCUUAAGCUUCUGAAAAAUGUCAUAUGUAGAUUCAGUAGAGAUAAUUUCUAGGAUUCAGAGAAAAGAGUUAUUGAAGCUCAUGAGAAGCUUUUGCUUUGCCAGUCUUAGACUCUAACUGAUCUGUCUCGAACAAAUGCAAAACUGGCGUUUGAAGCACAAAGAAAGUGGCAGAUCCUGGCAAGUGCUGAAGAGUCCCUUUUCUGCCAGAGAUCAAGUGUAACCUGACUUAAAGAAGGUGAUUGUAACACUUCUUAUUAUCACAGAAUGACUGCAUCUAGGAAAGCCAUAAAUCACAUUCACUUCCUUAUUGCACCAGAUGGAGAACAUUUUGAAUAUCAAACAGGAGUUUAAGAGCAUUGUGUUGAUUAUUUCUCACACUUUAUGGGUUGUGAGGUUGGUCCCCAGAUGCUGAUCUAGUCGGAUAUGGAGCUCCUCCUUCCAUUUUGAUGCUCUCAGGCCCAAAAAGAGAGUAUGAUAAAGAGCUUCUCGAAGGAGGAAAUCAAACACCUGCUUUUCUCAUUGCCAAAAAACAAAACCAGUGGACCUAAUGGGUAUUCCGCUGAGUUUUUCACCUGUUACUGGAGUAUUGUAGGGCUGAGGUAUGUGAGGCAGUUGAAGAAUUCUUCCGAUUUGGAAAGCUGCUUCAGCAAUGGAACACUACAACUUUGAUCCUCAUUCUCAAUAUCACAAACGCCUCUUCAACAUCUGAUUUCAGGCCAAUAUCCUGUCUCAACACUAUUUACAAAGUCAUAUUCAAGUUAUUGGCAACCAGAUUUCAGAAGAUCCUGUCUCAGGUAAUAUAUCCCUCUUAAUAGGUUUUCAUGCCAGGUAGGCUGCUUGCAGAAAACGUUCUACUGGCUACGAAAAUUAUGCAUGGCUAUAACUGGAGGAACAUCGAUUCCAGAGCAAUGCUUAAGGUGGAUCUUAGAAAGGCAUUUGAUUCAGUAAGAUGGGACUUUGUCCUCUUGACCUUAAAAGCGUUGGAGUUAUCAGAAAUAUUUGUUAAAUGUAUCAGUCAGUGCAUCACAACUCCCUCGUUUACAAUUUCAGUUAAUGAUAUCACCAGAUGCUACUUCAAAAGCGCAAAAGGAUUAAGGCAAAAAGACCCUCUCUCUCCUUACCAUUUUUCCUUGCAACGGAGGCCUUCUCAGGAUUUUCCACUCUAGAUUUGAGGCUGGGUAUAUCCAUUACCAUCCCAAGACGGCAGAACGGAACAUAUCUCACCUGAUAUUUGCAGAGGACGUGAUGAUUUUUUUUAUGGUGGGAGUUCAUCGUUACACAGCAUAACUGAAGGAUUAGAAAACUUUGCGUCUUGGUCAGGAUUGCACAUGAACAGAGACAAGACUCAACUAUUUCAGGCAUGAGUAAACCACAUUGAAUCCACUGCAAUGGCAAGCUAUGAAUUCACUGUAGGUUCACUAUCAAUCCAAUACUUGGGUCUUCCCCUUAUGCAUCGUAAACUGAGACUCUCUAAGUAUGACCUCCUUUUGGAGAAGCUUGCUAAUAUAUUCAGAUCUUGGGCUGUUACAACCCUCUCAUUCCCAGGGAGAGCUCAGCUGAUUGCUUCAGUGAUAUUAGGAACCGUCAACUUCUAGAUUUCCACGUUUAUGCUCCCCAAAGGUUGUAUUAAAAAUUGAAUCUCUGUGUGCUAGGUUAUUGUGGUCUGGUAGUAUUGUGACAAGAUGAGGAGUAAAAGUAGCAUGGUUUACUGUGUGUUUGCCUAACUCUGAAGGAGGUCUGGGCCUGAGAAAAUUUUCUGUGUGGAACAAGACGCUAUGUCUGCGGUUCAUUUGGUUACUAUGCUCUGAAAGUGGAUAUCUCUAGGCUGAAUGGCAUAUCAGAGCUUCUGGUUGGUGGAGGCAUAUUCAGCUGAUUCAUGGACGUGGAAAUCUCUAUUGGAUCUUAGACCAUUGGCUGAAAUGCUCUUAGGAAAUCUGUUGGAAAUGGACGAAAAACAAAUUUUUGGUUGGAUUUUUGGACACCUCUUGGUCCACUAAUUAAACUUCUGGGUAAUGAUGGCCCGAGAAAUAUCAGGCUCCGUCUUUCUGCUAUAGUCGCAGAUACAUGCACAAUGGAGACUUGGAGAAUCCCAUCGCCAAGAUCUGUAGCACAGCUGAGUCUCCAUAUGCACCUAACGACUAUCAACUUACCUUCUUCCUCUCAGAUCGAAGAUGACUGUUUUUGGUUGGAAAAUGGUGUUAAGUGCAGCCAGUAUUCCUCCUCUAAGACUUAGGAUGAUCUAAGGCCACAACAAGGUGAAACAGUGGUCUAAGCUUGUAUGCUUUAAAGAUUGUGUUUCGAGGCAGGCUUUCAAUAUAUGGAUUGCACACUUGAAUAGGCUCCCCACUAGAGCCAGAAUAGCUUUUAGAGGAACAAAUAUAUUCACAGAUUGUUGUCUUUGUUCCAGAGACGAGGAAACGAGAGAUCAUUUGUUGUUCAGUUGUGCUUAUAGCUCGGAAAUCGGAAAUCUGGAGGCUGAUACUUACAAGGUUAGACCAUACCCAGAGUCUGUUCAUCUUGUGGUCGGAGUUGUUAUCAUGGAUAAGUAUGCGUUCUGAUGCUGCCCCUUAUACCUGAAAGGUGGUGGCUCAGGCUAUGGUUUACCACAUUUGGAUGUCAAAGAAACAAUUUGCUGCACAACUAAUAAAGGAUUCCUGCAUCCAGCAUUUUCAAGUCCAUUGAUCGUGUGACUCGAAACACCAUUACUACGAGAAGACAAAGACGUUGCUUUAGCAACUUUAAUGUCUCUUUGGCUUCAAUGAAACAAUAUAAAAUCUAAUUUACUGUGUAUUGUUCUCCUUGUUUUUUAUUUCUUUUUUGCCAAGGAAGUUUUGUAACAGGUUAGCAUCUUUUAUAACCUUCUUUUCAUUUUAAUGAUAUUAACAUUCAUAGCAAAAAAAAAAAAAAAAGAAAUGGUACUUGCAAUGUUUUACACCAUGUUUGUGUUUUAAAAAUAUUUCACACUACAUAUUCAAAGUUAUAAUGCAGGAUACAAUUUGUUUCUAGUCGAAAAGGUCAAAAAUAUCCAAAUUUUUUAUGUGGUGUUUUCAAGAAUUAUGCUUUUAAGAGAAUUUAAGAAAAUCGGACUAUUCUAUCGAGAUACUAUAACUUAUUCAACAGAAUAUCUAAAGCAUUUGUUCUGAAAGCAAGAAUUCUAGAUGCUCUUCUCCCCAUUUGUUUUUGGUCGAAUGCCACAAAAGAUGUUGAGAAUUAGGCACAAGAACCGGGUUCAAUAAGUUGACAAAUACCAAACCGAGGACCGACGUGGAAUCGUGGAGAAAAAGUUACAUUACAAUAAAGAUAAAUAAAGAAAAGGGAAGAUGACGUAAAGCUCAGAUUUGGAGCCUAACGAACUCCACGUCACCGCCUAAGUUCAUCCAUUGAAAUUUGACGGCGUCUUCUACUCUUCUAUCAUAACCCUUCGUUCUUUCAUGUGAACCACGUCACCGCCAUUCUCUUUUUUUUUUCUUUCUUAAUACAUUUCUCAAUAUGCGUCCAAUAUCAUAAAUAUAAUAUAUAUAUAUAUAUACAAUUUAACCUAUUAAGGCAUUGCAACUUGUAGUGAACUUUCAAAGGAACUUGCAUCCACAAAUUUAAACAUUUUUGCAUGUUGUAGAAUUGAACACGAAUAAUAAAGUGUGUAUUGAUGAUACACUUGUGUUACUUAUUUGACAAUUUAUUUGGUUUUCUUAGAAAAACUGAAACUGGCUUAUACAGUAUGUUUGUACACAUUUUUUGUAUUCGAAGAAAUUGGGGCAUCAUACAGUGACAUUGCUAUUAAUGUUUCUUCUAUAUCAAACCAAGUGAUAACAAAAUAUAAAAAGUAAUAAUGUUGACUUGUAAAUAAAGUAAGAAAAUUAAAUUCUGUCAUUUCAGAAGAGGAAGUAUGUCACAUGUAUAAUAGAUCAUCGAUACUUUUCAUGAGAACUUCCACAAGAAAGCCAUUGACUUCUUAUACCUUUCUCAAUUUUCCAGCUUGACCCAUUUUUUUCUUUUGAAGUUAUGAGAACUUUAUGUAUAAAAACAUUUUAGACUAGACCUCAAGAAAAUUCAGAUAUUUUUAUAAUUUGUGAAAAAAAUGUUGAAAUAAAUUGAUUGGAUUAUUUCUAUUACUAACGUUAAUCCAGUAUUAUGGUGGUCUAUAUUAUUAUUAUAGCCACCUAUACGGAAUGUUGAUGUGCCAAACAAUGGAGACACACAUUGUGUACUUGGAUUAAUGAAUAAAAUGACAUGUAUCAGUCUAUGGGACACAUAGUAAACUAGAUUAUUUCAUACCUAAAAUGCUAUAAUAUUUGAUUGAUAAAUGAUAAGAACAAAGAAAAGUUCUUGCAAGUUUGAAAAAAAAAAAGAGAAUAUCUUGACUCGUGCGGAUCUCAAACUUUUCUUUUCUAUCCUCUUCUCAAAUUAUAUUCCAAGUAAAACACGCAAUUACCAUAAGAGUUAAACAAUAUAAAAAGAGUUCUCAACUAAAUCUUCCAAAAGAGGCUUUCUCUUAUGGUUCACAUGUAAGUAUAUACUUUAAUUUACAUAAAAUUUAAUUUAACGAAUCCUAAUGAGCCUAUUUUCUGAACACGUACAAAUCAAUUUAAUGCAUAUCUUCACAUUUACACAAGAAUAAAGAAACUACACAUAUUUUUACUCCAUUGCUUCUGAAUUUAUAUAAUUCUUUCCAUUUAAUAUGAUUGAGUUUUUAUCCCUCUAACAAGGAAAAAUAUUAUAUAUAGAUACAAGGAAAGCCCAUUUCAUUAUCUAUCUUCUCUUUGAUUCAGCGAGCGAAAUAAAAACAAAAGGCCAAAAAUGGGUGCAGACGCAAUCCAAACGAACGGUCACGAUCCCGCCAAGUUAACCGCCGCGAGAGGGAUCCAACGGUUGAGAUGCGCCGUGAAGAACUACGAGUGGGGCAAACUCGGACCGGACUCACUUGUUGCGAGGCUCCACGAGGCGAAUUCAGGGGACCGAGUCGACCCGGUGGUUCCUCACGCCGAGUUGUGGAUGGGUACUCACGAGUCGGCACCGAGUUACGUUGUGAAGGAAGAAGAAUUCGGGUCGGGUCGUAAUGGAUCCGAAUGCAUGGUUACAUUGAAAUCAUGGGUUUUGGAUUAUCCGAAUUUACUCGGGUCUAGAGUCGUGGACAAAUGGGGUUGUGAUCUUCCUUUCCUCUUCAAGGUAUUAUAUUUUAAAAGUUUCCAAUUAAAACAUGUAUAUUCAAAACCUUCUUUCAAAAAAAAAAAAAAACAUGUAUAUUCAGAUUCUGUUUAUGGUAAAUCUUUUUGUUUUUCCAGUUUUGUCUCAUACAUAAUUGUUCAGGAACAAAAGUAUUAUUUAUUUGAUCCUAAGAUUCUCAUUUUGAAUAUUUUUGCUCUGUUUUGAGGAUUUUACUUUUUGACUCUGUUUUCUUAUAAAAUUUCUAAUUAAAAGUCAAAACAUAUAUAUAUAUAUAUAUAUAUAUGUAUUUUUUUGUAAUUUCAGAUUCUGUGAAUUGUCAAUUUCUCCACUUUUUAUAUUUACAUAUAUUAUAUAUACAGCCAAUUUGUCUUGUUAGAUACAUAUAUAUUUUGGCUCUGUUUUGAGGAUGAUACAUUUUAACUCUGUUUUCUCAAUUUAUAAAAAUGCAUUUCUUUUUCUCUGUGUGUUUUAAAUUUAAAACAUAAAGGUUUGAUUCUAAUGAAUAAGAGUUUGAUGUUGAAAUGUGCAAAAAAUAAAAACAGGUUUUGUCAGUGACGAAAGCAUUGUCGAUUCAAGCACAUCCAAACAAAGCCUUAGCAGAGAAAUUGCAUAGAGAAGAUCCUCUUCUUUACAGAGAUGCUAACCAUAAGCCUGAGAUUGCUCUCGCCAUUACUCCUUUUCAAGCUCUUUGUGGUUUCGUAUCUCUUAAUGUACUAGAUUCUUCACUUCUCUGCAAACAUCUAAUUUAGUCGGUUUUUGAUUUAGAUAACUUCGGUUAUUUUGCCUAUCACAUAUGCUAAAUCCAAAAUUGAACCGGUUCUGUACCACUUUUGAUAUCAAAUUCAGGAGCUGAAGGAAGCCAUCGCCAAUGUACCAGAAAUCACAGAGCUUGUCGGAAGUAAAGCAGCAGAUCAAAUCUUCAAAGUCAACGAACACGAUGGAGACGAAACAAGUGUUAAAUCCGUUGUCCGUUUGAUUUUCACGCAAUUGAUGUCUGCAAACAUCAAUGAUACAAAGCAAGUCAUAUCACAGAUGAAGAUUCGUCUGAUCUCAGAAACAAACCACCGUGAGUUAUCGGAGAAGGAGAAGUUAGUAUUGGAACUAGAGAAACAGUAUCCAGGUGACGUGGGCGUGAUCUCAGCAUUCUUCUUUAACCACGUCAAGCUUAAUCCCGGAGAGGCUUUGUAUCUUGACGCCAACGAGCCACACGCUUACAUUUCCGGCGACUGUGUUGAGUGUAUGGCGGCUUCAGACAACGUUGUUAGAGCUGGUCUCACUCCGAAACACCGCGAUGUUCAAACUCUGUGUUCUAUGCUGACCUACAAAUUGGUAACUUUCUUUACACGUUAACGUUUUUUUUGGUUUAGUUGGCUAGCAAAAUUUGGAUUGUACCCUAACCCUAACCAAAACCGAAAAUUUAUUUUUCUUUGUUUGGUUAUUGAUUAAUUGUACCGGAUUUGUUUCAGGGCUACCCGGAGAUUUUGAAAGGAUUUCCUCUGACUCCAUACAUUACGAGAUACCUUCCACCAUUUGAUGAGUUUGAAGUGGACCAUUGUGAUCUUCCUAGAGAGAAAUCCACUGUUUUUCCGGCCAUACCAGGGCCAUCGGUUUAUCUGGUUAUUGAAGGAAAAGGGACAUUGAAAACCGGUUCAUCUCAAUUGUUGGUUAAACGAGGAGAUGUUUUGUUUGUUCCGGCACAUAACGAGAUUCACGUAACCGGAGAAAGUGAUGUGAUGAAGCUUUACAGAGCUGGAGUCAGCAGCAGAUUCUUUCAAACAAUGUAGACUAAGUAAAGAUACAUAUAUAUAUAUUUAAUUUGUUAUCUAAAUGUAACCAUAGGGAUCAAGGCAUUGACGUGAUCAUAGUCAAUAUUGGUCCAUGUUCUUUAAUCCUACAAAUGUCCCAUUACGAAUCAAGGGUUCAAGGGGUUGUUUUUCUAUUAACUUUUGUUGUUUCUUCUACACCUUUAAAAUUGAAUUAUAUAUGUAAAAUGAUUAUAAAACAAUGUUUUUUUUUUUACUUUUUGCUAUUGUAGUGUAGUAACUAGUAAUUAUUCUUCCUUUACCUGUUUAAACUUUAAUUUCUAGAACUACUCUGCAAAAGCACAUUUGUUCAGUUGUAAUAUGUAGAGAUCGAACCACAGAGACGAGAAAUUCGCUCAAUAAACCUAAUAGACUCUAAUUGCGCUAAGAAGAAAUAAUGAAAUUGAGAGCAGCAAUGCAAUAAAAAACGGUUUUAAAUUCGAUGGGAAAGAAUUAGGCUCAGGGUGUUUCACAGAAAAUCAGAGAAUGCAGACAAAUCGAUUAGUCAUGAUUCAGAUUUAAGCGCAAUUCUUGAACUCAAAUCACGAAAUUAUAAUUAACUAACUUUUGUUGCGAAAAUUAUUUAAAUCUAAAUCCCAGAAUCCCAAUUUUCUUUGCAAUCCUAAAGAUAUAAAUUAGCCUUAAGUGCAGGUUCGAUAUGUUCACAAAGUGUCUAAACCAAUUUUUUUUGUGGAUAGCUACUUUGCUCAUCCUAGGUUCUUUCGGAUUAUUCAAUUACAGUUUCGUGUCAAUCAAUUAACCUAAGAUCUAAGUUCUAGGUGAUCAGUCCAAAAUUAGCUUUAAGAAUAAUCUAUGGUGAAUUACUAAUCAGAUUAUGACCCCUAACUAAUUAAUUAUCUAAAAUUCAAAGGGAUCCCUUAUGAGAACCCUAAACCUAACAAACAAACUACUCAAAUAUGGAGAUUGAAUCAAUAAACAUGAAUGAAUAGAUUGCAGAAAGCAGUAAAAAGAUUAAUAAACAGAGGUUCAAAAUCUUCUCUCAAACAAACAGAGUCUCAGACUUGUCUCCCUAAAAGCUCUCUCAAGAUCAAUAGAAAUCAAAAGUCUCAAAGAAAAUCUAGAGUGUAGCCAAAACACGUGGCUGAAAACCCUAUCAAAAGCUAAAACACAUGUUGGACUUCCCUGUAAAUAUUGGAGACUUCUGGGCUCAAGAGAUUCUUUAAAACUUAGACAAAAUCACGUUUUUCCUUAUUCACGACAUUGGUGUCGAGCAACACCAAAACAUAUAAAUCAUCUUUCACGAAUUUGAUCCCUGCUUAGUUCCAAAAUGCUCUAAAAUCUCCAAUUAAACUCCAAAUACAUUUAAGACCUGAAAAGACUCCAAAAAAUUAAAAAAACACUAAAGAGACUCUAUAAAUAAAACCUAUCAUGAUCAAAAACCAUAAAAAAAAACCAUGAUAUAUCAUUCUCCAUGAUAAGCAUUUUUCGAAUGGUCUGAGUCGAACAAAACAAUGUUCUCUAAAGUAUAAGGCCAAUUCUUUUUGCCUCCCUCGUCACUUACCUUUUGUUUGUGGCUUCCAUGGCAUAGACUAGAGAGAUGACCCCGAGAAGACCUAAUCUAGCACGCAUUUGUUUGGAUGUUGCUAAUGUUCCGUUUUAAAGUACAUAUGCAAAGAUCGUGGAAAGUAAAACGAACUCAAUCUUAAGUCUUGAGACAAUGAUUUUUGCCAAUUUUCCGGUAAGCUUUCCCGGUGAAAUCUUUCACUGGAAUGACCUGAUUAUGGAUGCGCUGGAAACUUGAGUACUAUAACGUGAUAUACUUAUAUGUCAAAAUCGAAUUUAAACUGAAUGAGAAAUGAGGAUUCUUAGAGAGUAUAGCUUGAAAGCUUAAAAAUAACAUAAGUUACCAAAUGACAAGUGUGAUUUGUCCCACAUUAGCAAUUCAACGUUACAUUUUGAACGUAGUGUUACGUUCUCCCCUUGAUAAUACUCAAUAGAUCUGCUUCUAGCCUGUCCCAACAAUCUGAUUCGGAUUGAGAAUUGCGGUUUUUGCGAACGUUGUUAAAGAUUUCCAAAAAAAAAAAUAUUUCAUUACGGCUUUUCACAUCAAAUCGGAAAAACUCUGCUUAGUUUUAACUUUUUAGGGAAUUUGAUAAAUAUUUGACAAACUUUGUGAAAAUAACUUUUGGAGUAGCAAAAUUCCGCAAAAAAAAAAAAAAAACUCAGAGUAAACUUACUGACAAAAGAAAAAAGUUUCCUCAAGUUGGUUUAGUCGCAUUCCUUUUGUCAAGCACUUAAUCCACUACAAAGACGUUUUGUUGUAAUUUAACCGAACUGAACAAUCAUUCCAAAUCUUAAUAAGCAGCUAAAGAGAGACAUUGAGAGACCAAGAUAAACCGGUUUACUUGCACCUACUUGCUGUUUGUUAAAGCUUUGGUUACAAAAUGUGAAACGAUUCCAACCGGACAGAAGAGAAGGCACAAUGAAACCGAAUGCCUCGUCUCAAUCUUAUUCUCUAGCCCAUCAUUAAAAACUUGCCUGCAGAGAAACACUCAAAACAUGAGUUAUAAGAAACAUGCUAGGAUCAAUCAGAACCUGAAAAGUGCAAUAUAGUACCUUGCAGCGAAAAGAUCUAUAACAAGAAGAUGAAUCCAAGCAGAAGCAAGAGUCAUUUCACUUGAGAACAUUUUCGCUAUUCCAGACAACUGCAAAUGAAAAAAAAAAAAAGAAAUUUUAGAAACUGGAAUGUACACAUUUUCUUGUUUUCGAUAUUUCCUGAUAAUUGGAGGAAAAAGCUAAAACCUCUGGCAACAUGUAUUUACUGGAAAACAUGUAUUUGAGAGUAUCAGGCGUCCAAGAAAGGUAUAACAAAUACGCGUAUAAUACGCCUAAGACGAUAUACGGUAUGCUACUCUCCAUACACUUUUUGGUCUGCACAAGGAGAAAACAUACACUCAAUUCAAUAUGAACUUUUUUGAUUCUGCACAAGAAGUUGUAAAACUGCUAAACAAAAACUCACAAUUUCAGCUUUUGGAGCUACAACCAUUAGAGUGUAAAAGGGUAAAACAGCGGUUGUUCCAACCGCAAAUACACUGCUUGCAAUCUGAGAAGUAGCUAUCCCUGCACAAGAACAUGUUAUGUCUCUGUCCUACUUUCAAUUUAAACAUUGAAGAGCUAUAGAUUCUAGACAUAUAUCAAGCCUCUUUUUGGUUUAUAAUGUUUCAGUUAAGAGACAUUACAUGAAGCUCGUACACCAGAGGAUUUCUUUUGAACAAGAGAGGACGAGUUCGAUGAAACAUUAGGGAAAAGUGCGAUUUUUGAUCCUCCGAUAAAGCUCCAACGAUUCUGAAGUCGAAUACUUGACGAACCAACGCAUAGUUUAGACUUGACAUUGCUGAGAGAAAGACUUGUUAUCGAGCUCUUAGCUGAAAUGUUGCGAUUCAUCAUCUGAAUCACCAAACAAAAUGAAUCAAUCUGAUGAAAUAUAAAAAACUUCUUUAUUUCUUAAAAUUUAGGAAUCUGAGACCAAAAGCACUUUGAUCUGAACAACAACGAAUCAGGAACAGAGUUAGGUUCUGUAACAGGGACCCAUGAGGAGUAAAUUCAACUUCUUUAAUGUCUGCGUCAAUUCGAUCUGAUUCAAAGGAUAAAACUUUAAGGUUACCCAUAAGGAAUCUGAACUAUUCGAAAUUGUAGAAAGCUCGACAUAAGAAUCUAAUCCGACAAUCUCCAACAACUGUACAUACAUACAUACAUACAUACAUACAUGAUACAUACAUACAUACAUACACACACAUAGAUAUAGACAUAUAUCUGCGUAUACCGAAAAUUGGAGAAGAAUUGAAAAAGGAAGAGAAAAGGUAGAUACCGAGAGAGAUGAAGAAGACAAAGGCUGGGAAAUGCAAGAAGAUAAAGCCAUCUGCGAUUCAAAUCUUCAAUAGUCUUUGCCAGAAUUUGGCCAUUCAUUACCUUCUUCAACGAGCUCUCUCCAUAUAUAUAUGUAAAGUAUCAAUUUUUAGAGAGGAGAGUUGAGAGUUUUCCACUGGUUGAAAAGGGUAAGUGGAGAAGAAGCUAAGAGAAAAAGUGCUCACUCACUCUUUCUUCAUCAGUGUGGACAAUUAUAGUUGCUCAUCCACCCGAAUUUUUUAAAAAAGUUUUGGUCUUUUUUAGUUUUCCUCGUUUACUUCUGUUUCGCAUAAACAAAAAAAAAAGAAAAAACCAUUAUGAGUUUGAGUUAAUUUUAAAGAGAAAAUCAAAUUUAAAGAUUCUUUAUAUUGUAUGUUCAAAAUUGCAAUAUAUUAUGGAAAAAAAGAGAAGAUUUUUUCCUAAUUUUAGAUAAAAACCUUUAAUAAAAAUCAAAAAAUUAUUAAGAUAUUAAUUUAACCUUAUAUUUUAGAUAUUGUUCUUUUUCUGGUCAAUAUAAAAAAUUACAGUUUACCAUUCUUAUAUAAAAAAAAAUUAAUUAGACUCAAAUGGAAUGUUUUUAUUUUUUUAACAAGAAUAUAACUUUCAUAGAACCUAAUACCCAAAAAAAAAACAUUUGACCCGACUAAAUUAAAAUUCAAGGAAAGAUUGGAGCUUUGAUCCUUUACUCGAUAAAAAAAAGGUUCUUCAUUGUAUGAUCAAAUGACUUGUCGGAUUGUAUUUGUAGGUGGCUCAUCGUAGGAUUAAUAGCUUCUCGGAUUUUGUUAUCCUUGUCUUGUGUUUUGCUUUUUCCGUGAAGAUCAAAAUUUUCUUCUAUACAUUCCUGCUAUAUAUUCCAUCAUGUUCUACCGGUUACACUUAUAAGCCUAUAAGGAUAUCUAAUCUACUUUUUUAUUUGAUAAAAACCUAAUAUCUUUGUUAAUGGAUAUUUGUGCUUAAACUGAAUUUAGACACAACACAGGUCUAGUUCAGGACAGAACAAGACAAAAGUGACAGUGCUACUUCUACUCAGCAGUGGUUGUGACUUCCUCUAAAGACAAAAGUUGGUGUUUCCACCAUUAUUUCGGUUUUGCUUUUAUUAUAUAUUUUAUUUUAAUUUAUUUUUCGCUACAUGAGAAUUGCAUUAACGAAGGACAUUAUAUAUGAAAACAAAAAAAAACAAUAAAAAGAUAUACAUACAUGUGUCUGACACUCAUUGUUUGUGAAAUCAGUUGGGAGUAAGAUAGCGCUUGAGUGGGCUAUUUGGUAUGAUAGCUUCUCUCUAUUGAUGGGCCUUAUUGACCCACCCCACUUCAGUUUUGUUUAGUCAUUCACAACAAGAAAAACAUGAAAACAAAAGCAACACUUGUCUUUUCUAUCUCUCAAUCUGUAAGUGGUAUAUGCGCAUUUCGUUGAAUUCGAUUGAGACCAAAACUCUUUUAAAACAUAAUGUAUAGUUCUUAGGAUUAUAUGGGGAAAAUAUAUGAUGUCUCAAAGAUUUUUCAUAACAUAUUAUAUUCCUUAUAAUAAAAGGUCACCUGGGGUUUUUCUAUAAACCGGGGUUUUUUUAUAAACCGCCGGCUUUUCUAUAAACCGCCGGCUUUGUCUCUGGAGAUGUUGUAUCAUCUGCCGGCUUUGUGUAAUCCGUUGGCUUUGCUCUGUAACACUAUGGUGAUCAAUAUAAUAAUAUUCAAUGAAAAAAAAAAAAGGUCACCUAAAUAAUUAAAAAUUUGAAUUUUUACGACUCAUAUUUCUAUCCUAUUCCAAAGCUAGGAAAACAACAUAAAGAGUUACAAAUUCUUACUAUAUAGUACUUCCAACAAUAUCUUUAUGUAAAUUUGUGCCAAGUCAUUUUGAGUGGAAAAUGUAGAAUAUAUGAUCCACAAGAUCCUUGAAUAUACUUGGGUAUAUAGAAAUAAAAAUGAAUAUCCGAGACUCUUAUCUACAAGCCUAUCCUUAAGAAGGCACGUCCACGAAUGUUUCUAUCACAGAUUUUCAGUGGGCCAUCAUCUAUUACUUCAAGAUAUUGUUCUAAAAAUGCAUCUCAACCUCAAGCUUACUAAUCAUGUGACAAAAGUGAUAAUGUGAAUCUAGUUUUUCAAAUAAUUUCUUUAUUCAAUGACGACUAAUCAAAGAGUUGGUAUAUUUUUGUAUUCACAGUUCUUCAACUUUGUAUAUUUUCAUAUCUUGAGCCGCAUUGUAAUUUGUUUUUUCUUAUAUGCAAAAUUCAAAAUCAAAGAUUUAUAGAACAUUACAUAUUUAUUUCAUCAGACAUUUGAGAAUCCGAUAGAAAAUGUCUCGCAAACCGGAAAACAAACGUUAAAUCCGGAAAUUAAAACAAAACUAAGGAAACCAAAAAAAAAAAAGCAGAUGAUAAAAUCAAAGGUGAGGAGGGAGAUAAAGUUUUUUUUUUUUGAUGUUUACACAAAGCAAAGAAGCAGUGAAAUUAAGCAUCGGUGAAGCUUGCUGGCUUGUAGGCGAUGAAACUGAUGCACUGGACUUGACGGGUGUUGUCGAAUCCGAUGAUCCUAAUGAAGGCCUGGGGGUACUCCUUCUUGCACUCUUGCACUUCCUUCAACACUUGAGCUGAGUCAGUGCAUCCGAACAAAGGAAGCUUCCACAUUGUCCAGUACCGUCCAUCGUAGUAUCCGGGAGUGCUUCCGUGCUCACGGUGCACAAAUGCGUUCUACAAAAACACAUUACACAAAACCAUUCAAAAACAUAAAUCAAGAUUCUGCUUAGGACCUCUAAAUAGUUAUUAACUUGAUUGCAAGAUUCAUAUGGUCCAAGAGAUCAAGCUACUCUAUAAAUGAUUUUUAUUACCUCCAACUCGAAUUCAACACAGGGAAUCCACUUGUUGCGGAGAAGGUAGUCAACUUCCUUAGCCAAUUCAACUUCGGUUAGGUCAGGAAGGUAAGAGAGA
rnacentral:lncRNA from 1 species